AAGCAACGCGAAGAACCUUACCAGGUCUUGACAUCCCGAUGCUAUUUCUAGAGAUAGAAAGUUACUUCGGUACAUCGGUGACAGGUGGUGCAUGGUUGUCGUCAGCUCGUGUCGUGAGAUGUUGGGUUAAGUCCCGCAACGAGCGCAACCCUAUUGUUAGUUGCCAUCAUUCAGUUGGGCACUCUAGCGAGACUGCCGGUAAUAAACCGGAGGAAGGUGGGGAUGACGUCAAAUCAUCAUGCCCCUUAUGACCUGGGCUACACACGUGCUACAAUGGUUGGUACAACGAGUUGCGAGUCGGUGACGGCGAGCUAAUCUCUUAAAGCCAAUCUCAGUUCGGAUUGUAGGCUGCAACUCGCCUACAUGAAGUCGGAAUCGCUAGUAAUCGCGGAUCAGCACGCCGCGGUCGAAUACGUUCCCGGGCCUU
rnacentral:rRNA from 1 species